ensembl:lncRNA
AGGACAGAUGUGCAGAUGGGAGGGAGUCAGAAGGAACAAAGAAAAUGGGCUGCUGACAAGACUGCUGCAGUGACAAGAGGCUGCAGCAAAUAGUUCAUUUUACAUAGAUUUGAUGGCCCCAACUUCAUCUCCCUAUGGUAGAACUGCUCAUCUUCUCAAAGUAUUCAUGGCUUCGUCUUAUUGGAAGAAUGUAACGAAUCUUAGAAUCCCUAAAGUUGGAAGGGAUCUCUGAAGGCCAUCUAGUCCAACUCCAAUGCAACGAACAAGGACACCACAGGUAGAUCAGGCUGCCCAGGGCCCGAUCUAGCCUUGCCUUGAAAGUCCUCAGGGAUGGGGCAUCCACCACAUCUCUGGGCAACCUGUUCCAGUGCCUCACCACCCUCAUUAUAAAAGACUUUUUCCUUUUAUCCAACCUGAAUCUACCCUUUUUGAGCUUGAAGUGUUUUCCCCUUUUUCUGUCACCACAGAAUUUGCAAAAGAGUCUGUCCCCUUCUUUCCUGUAGUUUUGAAGGGAACUAUACAAUAAAUGACUCAAUAUACAGAUGUUAUAAAUAAACAAUUACAAUUUUUCUUCUUUAUUACAAUUACUUUUUAUUUGUCUGACAUCAUUCUAUCCUGCUUGUGUAAGCCAUAUUAGAGACUUCUGUUUUAUUUGUGAGUUGAGAUUAUUAUAAUCAACGUUCAAAAUCCCUCCUUGGCUGUUCUAGAAAUAAUUUUAUAAUAGUGAUACCAAACAUAAAAUAAAUGUGCAGUUUUAUUGAUCUCUCCAUUUUUUUCUAGUUACCUGUAUAUACUAUAUUUUUGCAACAGCUGAGAAAAAAAAGAUUUAAAUAGGAAACAUUUGUUAAUAUUAUACAAGAUAAAAAAGUUUUCACAUUAUUUCCAAAGCAAUAAAUGAAGUUAGCUUACAGUUACAUUUGCUAUAAUAUGCAAUAUAACAUCUAACUAAAAGAUGAAAUAUGGGCAUAGUCAAUAUUCUUCAAUAUUUCAGGUACUCCAGGAUGCAAUUCAGAUACUUUGAUAACAAAUGUGAGCUUUAAAUAUAUGUCAAAAUCCAGAUGAUUUUGAAACACAAAGCCUUGAAAGAUAUGGAAUGAUAAAUUAAUUUUUGUGAAUAUACUGAAACUGUUCUAAUUCAUAUACUGUAGAGAUGAAGCAUACAAAACUAUUAUACAUCUGGUAAUGUAAGAUUCUCCUGUUUUGAAUGUUGUGCGUUAUGCAUUACAGACAUUGUAACAACAUAUGAACACUGUGGGCAGACUAUAAUGUGAUUAUAUACCAGAUUUGGAUGUACAGACCUGACACUCAUAUUAAUUUUUUUUUUUUUUUUUAAGUUAACACCCUGGAACUAUGAAUCUUCAUUGCAUUAGAAAGUAAUGCCCUUUAACUCCUUGGUGUAAGAGUCUGUUAACUGCAGACACAGAAAGACUCGCACAUCAAGGCAGGGCACUUGACCUGUUAUAUAUAACAAAGAGACAGAGUUUGGUGAAGAUGCUUAGCAAAACUUUACUUAAAUAAACUAUUUAAUUGGAAUGUCUUUAAUUUCAUUAAAAAAAUGAUAAUAGUAAAGAGUAAAAAUUUUUGGAGCUGUGGGAACAGCUGAACUAAUGAAUUAUACUGUGAUGCAAUAGCAGACCAGUGUGUAAAUAGAAGUAAACAGAAAAAUGUAGUCUUAGGAGAAGAGAGGGAAGAAGAUGAUAGUGGAAAUAUGAAAGUGCUUGUGAAUGCUCUAAAUGUCUCAGAAUUACUGAGAACAGACAGUGGUGAAAUGGUGGGAAUACUAAAAAAAUAAGAAAAAGAAUGGAAAAGAAAAAGCACAUGUGCAGCGUCUGACAGUUUGCACAGCUACAAGUGUCCUCACUACUGAUAAAAAGAAACAUGCAAACUACAAGUAAGUUGUUUUAUCAUCAACUGCACUGCUGCUGAAAGAACAGAAAGAGCUUUUCUCCUGCACUUUGCACUGCUUAUAAUUUGCCUCCCCAUCUGGAGGCUGAGAUGUACUGUAGUACUGUUUUUUCAAGCUUUCUUCUGACCUUUGGAGAUCUGUGUUCUUUUAAUUAUCUUGUUCUCCAUUGGGACAAUGAAUUAACUGAGUUGUCCAACUGAAACAAGAGACAGAACUAAUGUUAGCAAGAAGAGUACUAUCACUUGUUCACUCAGAAACUGCAUACAUUGCACUUGCACUCAGUCCUCAUUCCUGUGCUGUAUGUUUUUGGUUUAUUUGUUUGUUUGUUGUUUUUUUAAGAAAUAUUUUCAAAUAAUUAUUUAAAAAUAUAUUU